GCCCGCGAUCAGCCGAGACCACUCGGCCGACUCAUAAUCCGUGUGUCCCUGGUUCGAGUCCAGGCGGGCCCA
rnacentral:tRNA from 1 species